rnacentral:lncRNA from 1 species
GAACUUAACUGGUAGUCCUGCAAUUGCAAACCAGUUCAGUCAUUAGUUGCCACCUACUCUCCUCAAAUAAUGACGGGCCAAAGCUGUAUCGCUCAAUUUGCUCACAAACCUUUAAUGUGUGAGCAAAAAGCAGCACUUGGAGAAAAAAGGUGCAUACAUCAACCCUGCAGUGUAGUGAAUAAUGUAAUAUGCUGAUGAAUGGAACAAAGGGCAUCCACCCUGAAGUUAGAAAUGCUUUUUUUAGCUCAUCCACCUAAUUGGAGAGACUGCACCGCAUUUGCCCAACUGCCACAACUAGCCUCAAACCUCAAACCUGAAAUGUUACAUUUGAUCUGACCUCUCUCGUCCUCCUUCUGUCAUUCAACACCUCUCUGCUUCCUGCUGCUGUGUACAGAGGUGUUGGAGUGUUAUUUUAAGAUGGAGGACUCCCCACUGAAUUCUGUGGUAUUUCCCCACCAUCCACCUCCUUAAGUACAGGAGCUGCAGGACGCCACCUGUGCAUACAGUAUUCGAGACUCAAAUAGGAAGAAAAUAACAUGAUCUCGAACAAUAAAGGCUCAGUGAAAAAUAGGUCUGGGAUGUGGUUUAGUCAAAGCAUUUUCUUGCCAUUAUAGUUACAUGGGUGUGGAGGGUGGGAUCAAAAUAAAACCCCAAUGACACCUGCACUCUACUAUUUGUGAGAACAAAAAAUAGCUGCAGGCACCAUAUCUGGUCAAGUCAUCACUUUAAUCACUCCAGAGGUUGUGCAACAUCUGGACUCAUCUAUGCUUUCAGGUUCUGCACAUGCUUGGCUUUGAUUUCACCAGAUAUCUGGACGCACUGGAUACAUCAAAUGGCUGAAGCAUUCACACGCAAAGUCCCAGAGACAGUCUGGCAGGAACAAAGAGACAUGAUGGGAUUCCUGGCUAGGAUGUGCUCUGACCUCUGACCCCUGUGCUGACUGCACCUGGUGAACUUAAACAUGCAGCAAAUAUUUUGAUGGAAAAAAAGGUGACCUUCCUCAUCUUUUGACGCAUGGCAGCAGGUAAAAAAAAUCAUAAUAAAAUGAUGGUUAA